GGGCUCUUAGCUCAGUUGGUAGAGCAGCGGACUCUUAAUCCGUUGGUCGAGCGUUCGAGUCGCUCAGGGCCCACCA
rnacentral:tRNA from 1 species